rnacentral:lncRNA from 1 species
AUGGCUUGCGCCAUGUUUGAGAUAUGAUGUUUUAAGCCGGACAGCUCUUGUUGUACAGUAUCCAAUUUGGCCUCAGCCUUUUCUGCUCGCUUUGUUAAAACAUCUUGGUCAACUUGAGCCCUUUUUAAGUCGGCUUUAAGCUUUUCCAUCUCAGUUAAGACCAGUUGAUACUUCUCCUCCGAUUUGGCCCGGGCAUCCUGCUGA